rnacentral:rRNA from 1 species
CCUACGGGAGGCAGCAGUGGGGGAUAUUGCACAAUGGGGGAAACCCUGAUGCAGCGACGCCGCGUGGGUGAAGAAGCGCCUAGGCGCGUAAAGCCCUGUCAGCAGGGAAGAAAAUGAUGGUACCUGAAGAAGAAGCACCGGAUAACUACGUGACAGCAGCCGCGGUAAUACGUAGGGGGCAAGCGUUAUACGGAUUUACUGGGGGUAAAGGGGGCGCAGACGGGGAUGCAAGCCAGGAGUGAAAGCCUGGGGGCCAACCCUGGGAGUGCGCUUGGAACUGCGUGGCUAGAGUGCAGGAGGGGCAGGCGGAAUUCGUGGUGUAGCGGUGAAAUGCGUAGAUAUCAGGAAGAACUCCGAUGGCGAAGGCGGCCUGCUGGACUGCAACUGACGUUGAGGCCCGAAGGCGUGGGGAGCGAACAGGAUUAGAUACCCGUGUAGUC